CACCCGCAGGUGAAUUCAUUGAAGAUAUGAAUCAAUCUGGAAUCGUGUUUCAUCACACACCCACAGCACAUAAAGACGCUAGACGUGAGAUGAUACGUGAGGAACUACGCGACUGGGUAGUUGGUAAUGGUGCUCCAGCAAAUGUGAUGGCUAUCUUGCGAGACAUCUCUGAUGACAAGGACUUUGCCCGUUAUCUUGGCGUAUUGAGAUCUAUAGAUUAUAAUGUUGUCAUAGCACAGCCUCAGAAUGCAUUAGGCCAGCUUUCCGAUUUGGAAUGGCUUUGCUCAAGACUUGGAGACAGAUUUCUCCCUCGAUCCAAGAACUCAGACUCCUACACAGAGGCGAAUAUAAGAGAAAUUACAUAAUUGUAUAUUAGCUAGUAAAAAUAUAAGAGAAAUUACAGUAUCAUAAAAGAAAUAUAAUUUUUGCUUCUUGC